rnacentral:misc_RNA from 1 species
GAAAAUAAAAUAAACCCAAAUUUUGGACAUCCAUAAAAAAACCCAAAUAGCACAGUUAGUAUUGUUAGAAAAAAGGGGGGAAAACAACUUCAGAUAACCUAGAAACAGAGGACAUAAAUAACAUGUAAGAGUUUCCAUUCUUUUUUCUAAAGACACAGAAGGCCAAUAAUCAACAAGCAUAUGACCUAAGUAGCAUAUUAUUAUUAUUAUUAAAAAAAU